AGAAAACUUUGCAAUGUGCGAAAGCACGACAAGGUUAAUCCGAGUGGUUUCUGCUAAAGAAACCUUUUGUUAGUCCUAGAAACACUAGUGAAUAAGGGGUGGGCAAGUUCUGGUGUCAGCCGCCGCGGUAAAACCAGCACCUCAAGUGGUCAGGAUGAUUAUUGGGCCUAAAGCAUCCGUAGCUCGUUUUGUAAGUUUUCGGUUAAAUCCAUGCGCUUAACGUAUGGGCUGCCGGGAAUACUGCAUAACUAGGAAGUGGGAGAGGUAGACGGUACUCGGUAGGAAGGGGUAAAAUCCUUUGGUCUAUUGAUGACCACCUGUGGCGAAGGCGGUCUACCAGAAUACGUUCGACGGUGAGGGAUGAAAGCUGGGGGAGCAAACCGGAUUAGAUACCCGGGUAGUCCCAGCUGUAAACUAUGCAAACUCAGUGAUGCAUUGGCUUGUGGCCAAUGCAGUGCUGCAGGGAAGCCGUUAAGUUUGCCGCCUGGGAAGUACGUACGCAAGUAUGAAACUUAAAGGAAUUGGCGGGGGAGCACCACAAGGGGUGAAGCCUGCGGUUCAAUUGGAGUCAACGCCAGAAAUCUUACCCGGAGAGACAGCAGAAUGAAGGUCAAGCUGAAGACUUUACCAGACAAGCUGAGAGGUGGUGCAUGGCCGUCGCCAGCUCGUGCCGUGAGAUGUCCUGUUAAGUCAGGUAACGAGCGAGAUCCCUGCCUCUAGUUGCCACCAUUACUCUCAGGAGUAGUGGGGCGAAUUAGCGGGACCGCCGCAGUUAAUGCGGAGGAAGGAGGGGGCCACGGCAGGUCAGUAUGCCCCGAAACUCUGGGGCCACACGCGGGCUGCAAUGGUAGUGACAAUUGGUUCCGAAUCCGAAAGGAGGAGGUAAUCCUCAAACGCUACCACAGUUAUGACUGAGGGCUGCAACUCGCCCUCACGAAUAUGGAAUCCCUAGUAACUGCGUGUCAUUAUCGCGCGGUGAAUACGUCCCUGCUCC
rnacentral:rRNA from 1 species